rnacentral:rRNA from 1 species
UAAUAGCGUAUAUUAACGUUGUUGCGGUUAAAAAGCUCGUAGUUGGAUUUUGGGCCCUCUUUGCGGUCGGUCCGGUGUAAACCGGUACUGACGGCGGGGGCCUUCUGUCUGGAAGCGGCGCGGUCGCUCUUCACUGGGCGCUGCGUCGCGUCUAGGACUUUUACUUUGAACAAAUUAGAGUGUUUAAAGCAGGCGAUCGCCUUGAAUACAUUAGCAUGGAAUAGCCGAAUAGGACUUUGGUUCUAUUUUGUUGGUUCUAAGGACCAAAGUAAUGAUUAAUAGGGAUAGUUGGGGGCAUUAGUAUUUAAUUGUCAGAGGUGAAAUUCUUAGAUUUAUGAAAGACUAACUUCUGCGAAAGCAUUUGCCAAGGAUGUUUUCAUUAAUCAAGAACGAAAGUUAGGGGAUCGAAGAUGAUCAGAUACCGU